rnacentral:rRNA from 1 species
CACGGAGUUAGCCGGUGCUUCUUCUGCGGGUAACGUCAAUGAGCAAAGGUAUUAACUUUACUCCCUUCCUCCCCGCUGAAAGUACUUUACAACCCGAAGGCCUUCUUCAUACACGCGGCAUGGCUGCAUCAGGCUUGCGCCCAUUGUGCAAUAUUCC